GACAGAGGUGCCAAGCGUUAGGCGGAAUCACUGGGCUUAAAGCGUGUGUAGGUGGAUGUCUAAGUACCUUGUGAAAUCCCACGGCUCAACCGUGGAACUGCUCGGUAUACUGGAUGUCUUGAGCCACUUAGGGGCUACUGGAACAAAUGGUGGAGCGGUGAAAUGCGUAGAUAUCAUUUGGAACGCCAAUGGUGAAAACAGGUAGCUGGGAGUGUGCUGACACUGAGACACGAAAGCCAGGGGAGCGAACGGG
rnacentral:rRNA from 1 species